rnacentral:rRNA from 1 species
AUGGUUCCUCCAGAGCCUCGAGAACCAGCAGCAGAAGACAAGAAGAAGGAAAGAGUCGCAGCCGGUGCUCCUUUCACGUGGAUUACUGAGCACUUUGAUACUUGCCCUCAGGAAGCUAAUGAGGACACAGUCAAGACAUAUGCUCGUGUCUACAUGUGGUAUGUGAUAUCCAGGACUAUAUUUGCUGAUGGCACAGGCAAGAAUGCUCCAUGGAUGUGGCUGAAGGCGUUGACCGUCUUCGAUAGCAAUUGGAGUUGGGGUUCGGCGACACUGGCUUACUUGUAUAGACAGGUAUGA